rnacentral:rRNA from 1 species
UGAGGAAUAUUGGUCAAUGGCGGGAGCCUGAACCAGCCAAGCCGCGUGAGGGAAGAAGGUACAGCGUAUCGUAAACCUCUUUUGUCAGGGAACAAAGGCGGGGACUAGUCCCGGGAUGAGGGUACCUGAAGAAAAAGCAUCGGCUAACUCCGUGCC